AGGCGGAGUCGGAGCGGAAUUUCAUCCUGUCUAACCUGGCGCAGAAGAAGGGCGGUGGGUGGAGGUGGAGGUGUAACCUGGAGAUAAUAUCCCAGUUUGUAGAGGAGGUCAGGGCGUAUCCGGAUAACGUGCCAAUAUCUUCAAUAAAUACCCUUUUUCUAUACGGAGGUGCUAGCGACUACAUGACUCCAGCACGUGUAGCCACAGCCCAGGAGCUGUUCAGUGCUGCUCAGUUUGAAGUGGUGCCCGGAGCGGGGCAUAUUGUUCAUCUUGAUCAACCUGAGAUAUUUUAUACGUCCCUCCGGAACUUUCUGGAAAUGUACGGAGAGGUAGAGUUCUAGUUCGCAGAGAUAGAUUCGACCCCUUUGAUACGGUCUGCAUGUGAUUUAAACCGCCGUGACCCCAAUAAAAUCUGAAUAACAUGUUAAACAUUUAAGAUUUAUAUUUUAUUCAUUUUUGUAAGAUUAUUCUGUUUUGAUUGUUGUUUUGAUGUAACUUGAUAGGUUUUUGUAUGAGAGUAGCAGUUUAUUAAACCUCAGUCUCUUCAAUGUAAUACUUUAAUAAUGUAAUACUUUAAUAAUUGCUAAUUUAAUCAUUC